AACGCUGUGGAUACAACCGGAGCUGGAGACUCCUUUGUCGGUGCUCUCCUAAACCAGAUUGUCGACGAUCAGUCCGUUCUCGAGAACGAAGAGAGAUUGAGAAAAGUGUUGAGAUUCGCCAACGCUUGUGGAGCAAUCACCACGACCAAAAAAGGAGCCAUUCCAGCUCUUCCCU